rnacentral:rRNA from 1 species
GACGAACGCUGGCGGCGUGCCUAAUACAUGCAAGUCGAACGCAUUUUCUUUCACCGUAGCUUGCUACACCGAAAGAAAAUGAGUGGCGAACGGGUGAGUAACACGUGGGUAACCUGCCCAUCAGCGGGGGAUAACACUUGGAAACAGGUGCUAAUACCGCAUAAUUCCAUUUACCGCAUGGUAAAUGGAUGAAAGGCGCUUUUGCGUCACUGAUGGAUGGACCCGCGGUGCAUUAGCUAGUUGGUGGGGUAACGGCCUACCAAGGCUGCGAUGCAUAGCCGACCUGAGAGGGUGAUCGGCCACACCGGGACUGAGACACGGCCCAGACUCCUACGGGAGGCAGCAGUAGGGAAUCUUCGGCAAUGGACGCAAGUCUGACCGAGCAACGCCGCGUGAGUGAAGAAGGUUUUCGGAUCGUAAAACUCUGUUGUUAGAGAAGAACAAGGAUGAGAGUGGAAAGUUCAUCCCUUGACGGUAUCUAACCAGAAAGCCACGGCUAACUACGUG